CAGCCGCCGCGGUAAUACGGAGGGUGCAAGCGUUAAUCGGAAUUACUGGGCGUAAAGCGCACGUAGGUGGUUCGCCAAGUUGGAUGUGAAAUCCCCGGGCUCAACCUGGGAACUGCAUCCAAAACUGGCGAGCUAGAGUAUGGUAGAGGGUGGUGGAAUUUCCUGUGUAGCGGUGAAAUGCGUAGAUAUAGGAAGGAACAUCAGUGGCGAAGGCGACCACCUGGACUGAUACUGACACUGAGGUGCGAAAGCGUGGGGAGCAAACAGGAUUAGAUACCCCUGUAGUCCCUGUCUCUUAUAU
rnacentral:rRNA from 1 species